rnacentral:lncRNA from 1 species
AAAAGUGACAAUCUAACUUGUUGUACAUUAGUUAGCCAGCUCGUAUUCAACUCUUUAAUAAACACACCGAAUACGAGCUGAAUUUUUUAGUUCGAUAUUUUACAAAGCCAGUUUAUGUUCUGCUCGUUUAGUUAACGAGCGAAAAUGAAUUGACCUCAGCUCGCUCAUGUUCGGCUCGUUGACAGCCCUAUGCUAUGGGCAAUGAAAAAAAUAUGAUAAAAAAGUUAUCUAUUUUCGAUACAUAAUAUAAUGUUGUGCGUAUAACAAUAAAUGAAUUACUAUAUAUUUUCUACAGCUACAGUGAAAAUAGGAGAAGAAUAUUUUAUUUCCUAACGUCUCAACUCAAUUUUGACUAAAGGCAUUUAGUUUUGUUUCUACUUUUCGCUACAGUAGUGUAGCCGAAUUAAGUACAUUGAUGGGUAGAAAAAAAUUUAAAACUUUCGUUGCAGUGAAAGACAAAUAAAAUUCGCUCUUCAGACUCAUGCAGAAAUUUUAAUUUGGUAUUUUUUAUUUUACUCCAUGUAGAAAAAAAAAAUUAUUAAGAUAUUUUGAUAUAAUUCUUAAUUUAUAAUAAUAUUACUUAAACAAUACUUAAACCAUUCCAUACAUUGUAUUAUAGUUCUCGAGAGUCAAAAAAAUAAGUGUUUUUUUUAUUAAUCAUUUAUCUAUUAAGUAAUUUGCUUAUUUCCGUACAUUUCGUGCACUUUAAACAGUACAGUUAAAAGCUUUUUUUUUUUUUUUUACGAAGGAGAAAUAAAUGCAUAACAUAACUAGCCAGAAAAUUUAAUUUAUCGAGUAUUUUUUCUUUUAGAAAGAAAGAUAGCAAAUUCUCUGCUUCUUUUAUUUUUAUUUUUAAAAUAAAUUUAGUUGAAAAAUACGAAAUAACUGGGCUAUGGACUUGUAANAACAAUAAAUAUUAUUAUAAUUAAUAACUAUUAGUUGCAAUAGUAAAUUUUUGCAACAAAUAAGAAUUGCUGUUAUAAAUCGUGCGGUAAUAAAUAACUAAAUAAUAUAACUUUGCUCCAUCACAACGGCACAAAAUAUUAGAAUAAAAUAAAUUUUUUUACAAUAAUAUAACUUUUGAUACAUUUAGAUUGAUAUAAUGGUACAAAAUUAUUGUAUCUAGCGCCAAUAUGCGGUCCACAGAUGACGUGGUAGACAAGGUGUAAGCAAUAUUAAAUUCUAACUUGAGUAGCCAAUGGGCCCAAUAGGUAUUACCUGAAGAAGAAGCAAAAGCAAAAGAUCUGCACAAAAAAAAAAAAUAAAAAAAAUAAAAAAUAAAAAAGAGAGGAGGGGCUCUUUCUGUGUCUUUAAAGCUGCUUCUUCGGCUGGGAUUUUUUCUUUAUUUUUUUUCCCUGGGAGCGAAAUGGAGUACAAGCUUAGCAGGGAAAGGCCGGCGCAUAGAUACCCCUCUCUGUGCCCUGUGAAAGGUACGCGAUAAUCUAGGGAGUAGAGAGAGAGAAACAGAUGAUCUAGGGAGAGAGAGAGAGAGAGAGAGAGAGAGAUUGUAAGGUGUACUAAGUAUUGGUAGCAGCCCCUAUAAUACACCAACAUGACAAGUUGGUCCCCAUAAACACUUAUUUAUAUGACCUUAUUUUGACCCAGUUUGGGAUUGCGGAGAAAUUACAGUACGAUAGGACUGAUAAUUCAACUCACUGUUUGCGAGCCACUUUGUAUUCAGCUCGAAGUGAACUCGAGAUCGAUUGCUCGUAUAUAUGAUGAGCAAGCCGAAUAUCAGCUGAAUUUUUUAACUCGAAAUUUUAAUGAGCCGAACACGAAUUGGGAUCAGCUCGCUUAUGUGUUGCUCGAUAUUGUUUGUAUUGAAUUUCAGGUCAAUCCAAAUGUACAGAAACCUAUAUUUUGUAAAUUUUAGUUAUUAAAUUAAAAUUCUUAUUUCGAAUUUCUUUUUCAACUUUUUAUCUAGUAAUAGAAAGGUAACAAUCUAACUUGUUGUACGUUAGUUAACCAGCUCGUAUUCAACUCUUUAAUAAACACGCUGAAUACGAGCAGAAUUUUUUAGUUCGAUAUUUUACAAAGCCAGUUUAUGUUCUGCUCGUUUAGUUAACGAGCAAAAAUAAGUUGACCUCAGCUCGCUCAUGUUCGGCUCGUUGACGGCCCUAUGCUAUGGGCAAUGAAAAAAAUAUGAUUAAAAA